UCAGACUUUGAUUAUGGCUCAGGAUGAACGCUGGCGGCAUGCCUAAGACAUGCAAGUCGAACGAGAUGGCCCAGUGAAGGUUGAGUGCUUGCACAAGACUGAAUCUGGAUUCCCAUCUAGUGGCAGACGGGUGAGUAACACGUGGGUGACCUACCUUUUUGUUGGGGAUGACAGUUGGAAACGAUUGCUAAUACCGAAUAAAAUGUAAGAGUCAAUUUUACAUUGAAAGGAGCCUUUAAAGCUUCGCGAUUAGAUGGGCCUGCGGCGUAUUAACUAGUUGGUGAGGUAAUGGCUUACCAAGGUGACGAUGCGUAGCCGAACUGAGAGGUUGAUCGGCCACAUUGGGACUGAGACACGGCCCAAACUCCUACGGGAGACAGCAGUUAGGAAUAUUCGUCAAUGGAGGAAACUCUGAACGAGCAAUGCCGCGUGAGUGAUGAAGGUCUUAUAGAUUGUAAAACUCUGUUGUAUGGAAAAAACGACUAGGUUAGGAAAUGAACUUAGUGUGAUGGUACCAUACCAGAAAGCCCCGGCUAACUACGUGCCAGCAGCCGCGGUAAUACGUAGGGGGCGAGCGUUAUCCGGAUUUAUUGGGCGUAAAGCGUGUGUAGGCGGUUUAUUAAGUUUAAGAUUAAAGCCCGGGGCUCAACUCCGGUAAGUCUUAAAAACUGGUAGACUUGAGUACGGUAGAGGCAAACGGAAUUUCUAGUGUAGCGGUGAAAUGCGUAGAUAUUAGAAGGAACACCAGUGGCGAAAGCGGCUUGCUGGGCCGUUACUGACGCUGAGGCACGAAAGCGUGGGGAGCAAAUAGGAUUAGAUACCCUAGUAGUCCACGCCGUAAACGAUGAGUACUAAGUGUUGGGGUUACCCAGUGCUGAAGCUAACGUAUUAAGUACUCCGCCUGAGUAGUACGGUCGCAAGGCUGCAACUCAAAUGAAUUGACGGA
rnacentral:rRNA from 1 species